CGCGGCGCCGCCGCGGGGGGGGGGAACCGCGCGCCCCCGUCGCUGCUGGCGCGCCAGAAAACGCAGAAGUGAGUCACGCGUAAAUAAAUCCAGAGCUGUUUUAUUGCCUCCUUCUUCUGCGCUUUCGGUGGCUGUUUUGGGAGACGUUACGAAGAGGCAGAGUUAGUCAACGCUGCCUGCCAAUAAUAGAUGUGAUUUUUUUUUUUUUUGAGUUCACCCACACAGCUUGAUCUUGAGGUUUAUCAAAAAUCAGAGAAGACACCUUAAAGUUAUAAUGACUGAAAUAACCUACCUCUUCCUUACGGUGUUGGGUUGGGGGUUUCUUUGGCUUACCGUACUUUUGGCUUGGCUUAGAAGGUCCAUGCUCGUCUGGUCAGCGUUGCUGGCCUCUCUGGGAAUAUACGUUCAGUACUUACAGGGAAAGAAUUAAUAGCAGAAUAGCAAGGAGAGCUACGUGGUCUGGGCUCUCCCACGUCCAGGCAGAUGUAUGUAGAGAACUAUAUAUAGAUGCACUACAGAUGUGCACAGAUAAAUCGGUGUCUUAGGAGGCUGUAAAUGACGUGAACCACACCCUGUAUACGUACUUAUCCUCUAAUAACACACGAUCUGUAAAAUCAGUGCUUGUCAGUGCUUAUAUCACUACUUGUUUGCAAAUCCGGCCCAGCGGCUCCGUUGCUCUCUGAAUAGCCUGUUGCUUUGACCCUGCAUGAUGUUUGCAAAAAUCAGGAGACAAAAGGUAACGCAGGUAAGUGAAGAAAGUUACACAGGAACAGAGAUGAACGAUGCCCUGGAUGGCAGGUGCUGGAGGAAACUCAGUCCUCGCGACUGCACACCUUUAGACGUGCUGAAGUCUUUCCUUUGGCAGCACAGCAAGUCCUUGAUCACCUGAAAGCCUCUGGGAGUUAGAAGUAAGUUCCUAUCAUCGGGGGAAAAAAGGGUCCGAGCUCACGGCUAGGCUGAACGCACGCUCUCCAGAUGUGCUCUGGGUCUGCAGAGAAGGAGUUAUUUUAGCAAAAAGGAAGACAAAGGGGCCCGACCAGCUGCACGGGGCGCGCGCCCUGCAGAGAAACCCUGGCGGCCGGAGAGGAGCCGCCUUGG
rnacentral:lncRNA from 1 species